rnacentral:rRNA from 1 species
UACAGAGGGGGCAAGCGUUGUUCGGAAUUACUGGGCGUAAAGGGCGCGUAGGCGGCCUGUUAAGUCGAACGUGAAAUCCCCGGGCUCAACCCGGGAACUGCGUCCGAUACUGGCAGGCUUGAAUCCGGGAGAGGGAUGUGGAAUUCCAGGUGUAGCGGUGAAAUGCGUAGAUAUCUGGAGGAACACCGGUGGCGAAGGCGGCAUCCUGGACCGGUAUUGACGCUGAGGAGCGAAAGCGUGGGGAGCAAACAGG